GAUGAACGCUGGCGGCGUGCCUAAUACAUGCAAGUCGAGCGAACAGACGAGGAGCUUGCUCCUCUGACGUUAGCGGCGGACGGGUGAGUAACACGUGGAUAACCUACCUAUAAGACUGGGAUAACUUCGGGAAACCGGAGCUAAUACCGGAUAAUAUAUUGAACCGCAUGGUUCAAUAGUGAAAGACGGUUUUGCUGUCACUUAUAGAUGGAUCCGCGCCGCAUUAGCUAGUUGGUAAGGUAACGGCUUACCAAGGCGACGAUGCGUAGCCGACCUGAGAGGGGGAUCGGCCACACUGGAACUGAGACACGGUCCAGACUCCUACGGGAGGCAGGAGUAGGGAAUCUUCCGCAAUGGGCGAAAGCCUGACGGAGCAACGCCGCGUGAGUGAUGAAGGUCUUCGGAUCGUAAAACUCUGUUAUUAGGGAAGAAAAAAUGUGUAAGUAACUAUGCACGUCUUGACGGUACCUAAUCAGAAAGCCCCGGCUACCUCCUU
rnacentral:rRNA from 1 species